UUCCGGUUGAUCCCGCCGGACCUGACUGCUAUCGGAUUGAUACUAAGCCAUGCGAGUCAUUGUAGCAAUACAAGGCAGACGGCUCAGUAACGCGUAGUCAACCUGACCUAUGGACGGGAAUAACCUCGGGAAACUGAGAAUAAUGCCCGAUAGAACACUAUACCUGGAAUGGUUUGUGUUCCAAAUGAUUUAUCGCCGUAGGAUGGGACUGCGGCCUAUCAGUUUGUUGGUGAGGUAAUGGCCCACCAAGACUAUUACAGGUACGGGCUCUGAGAGGAGUAGCCCGGAGAUGGGUCCUGAGACACGGACCCAGGCCCUAUGGGGCGCAGCAGGCGAGAAAACUUUGCAAUGUGCGAAAGCACGACAAGUUUAAUCCGAGUGAUUUGUGCUAAACGAAUCUUUUG
rnacentral:rRNA from 1 species